rnacentral:lncRNA from 1 species
GCUGCGAUUAGAUUCGGAUGGCCUUGAAGAUGAGGAGAUGAUGACGAUCAUAAUUAAAAAAGGUUUGUCUUGAUAUAAACUAAAUGAUUUUUUUGGAUUAAAAAUGCAAGGGCUACAUAUUAGCAUCUCAUCAACAAGGUGUUUAAACAUGUCAAACACAACAUGGAGGUUUGUGUUGAUGAUAUGCUGGACAAAGGUAUUAAGGACGAUCUGAAGGAUCG